UACAGAGGGUGCAAGCGUUGUUCGGAAUUAUUGGGCGUAAAGCGCGUGUAGGCGGCUUGGCAAGUCGGGUGUGAAAGCCCUCAGCUCAACUGAGGAAGUGCGCCCGAAACUGCUUUGCUUGAGUGCUGGAGAGGGUCGCGGAAUUCCCCAAGUAGAGGUGAAAUUCGUAGAUAUUCGGAAGAACACCAGAGGCGAAGGCGGCUCACUGGCGCAUACUGGACGCUGAGGUGCAAAAGCGUGGGGAGCAAACAGG
rnacentral:rRNA from 1 species